AUGUGGCUUGUUGCUGGCUUUGGUGGUCGGUAUGCUUCGUCGUCGUCGUCUUUUCUUUCUUCUUCUUCUUCUUCUUUUUCUUUUUUUAAAAGGGAAAUGGUGUUAUGCGGCUGGCACGGCGUAUGUAAAAAAGGAAGCUUUUUGUUAGGUGUCUUGUUGGUGGAAAUGGGAUGGGGCUAAAGCAGCUCCACGCGCGAGUUUGGUUGUAGCGUGUUCUCUCGUUUCUUGGUGAUCGUAAUUGAGGGAGAAGCUUCGGCAUGCUUGUUGAUGUACGUUGACACGCAUUUGGGCGACCGCAGCGCGAAGGAAUGAAAUCAAAUGUUAGCUUUCUCAUUGGAUCGAGAGCUUAAGAUUCAAACGAAAAUCUUUUGAUCGUUCAACAAACUUAAAAAAAAAGAACUAGUGUAAUACCUGAAGCGAAUACAAGAAAAUGACAGAAAAAUGUUUUGAGCUCCCAGCGGUCGACCACAAUGGCAGGCACGGUCGACCGGAAACAUGCACGAGACCUGGGGAGAUCUCUAGACUUUUGGCGGUCGACUGCAGUGUCAAGUGCGGUCGAUCGGCCAAACCCUGUAGUGAUUUCUGCUUUUUAUCGUUGGAUCCGGUCUACUGCACGUGUCUCUGCGGUUGACCGCGGGUCGGGUUGGGCUUGAGUUUUGGUUUCCUGUUCGCUUUGGGUUUGCGUUUUGAUAUAUAUUAAAACACGAUUUUCUAGCGUUUCUAAUCAGAGAUUUUAGAUUGUACUAAGUAUAUUGAGAGGGAGAACUUGUGAGCAAGUUGAGAGAUUUGAUUUAGAGUUUAUUUGAGUGAUUUUGUGAGAUUGUAACCCUUUGUACUCUCCUUGAGUUAGUAGAAUCUCCCCAUCCUGUGGACGUAGACAAA